UACGAAUGGAGCGAGCGUUGUUCGGAAUCACUGGGCGUAAAGCGUGCGCAGGCGGUCUUGAAAGUCAGAAGUGAAAGCCCAGGGCUUAACCCUGGAAUUGCUUUUGAAACUCCAAGACUAGAGUACUGGAGGGGUUGGCGGAAUUUCGAGUGUAGCAGUGAAAUGCGUAGAUAUUCGAAGGAACACCGAUGGCGUAGGCAGCCAACUGGACAGUAACUGACGCUCAUGCACGAAAGCGUGGGGAUCAAACAGG
rnacentral:rRNA from 1 species